CUUCUUUCCCUGAAAAGAGAAAGCCUAAGACCCAGGGUGGUGAGCUUCCUUGCCGAAUAGCUAACAUACUACCUGACCUAGAAGGAGCAUCAAGGAGGCAGCUAGGUUCUGGGAUCAGGAGCUCCUGAGGCAAAAGUCAGUCUCAAAGAGACAACAGAGCUUCAGGGGACACAGAAUUAAGGCCCAAGCAGCAGGUUGGGCCUAGAAAGCUAGGAAGCAUAGACAGGCUGCGAGGUCUCGUCUGUUAAGACUUGAGCCCUCAGGUCCCGGCGCCAGAAGGCUGAGGAGGAACACUCAGACACAGUUUUAAGCGCUUUAUGGAAGUGAGAUUUCGUGGAACUGAGGAAACUCGCUCAAGAUCACACAGAGGGAAGUGACUGAAUGCUAAGAUUUUAAACGUAGGCUCGAAAGGAGGACUGAGGCGCCCGUGGAUGUCCCACGCGAGGACGGUUCUGUGGCUGAGCCGCCCUCUCCGUGUGGUCCGCGUUGUCUGCAGGGCUCAGUUCAUGGAACAGAAGGCCCAGGGGCCGCCCUCUCCGCCAGCGAUGGAGAACGGCACACAGCCCUGCCAAGAGCGCCCACCGGCGGCGACGGUCACCGAGGGCGCCGCCAAGAUCGUCUUCCCCAGCGCCAACGAGGUUUUCUACAACCCGGUGCAGGAGUUCAACCGGGACCUGACAUGUGCUGUGAUCACUGAAUUUGCUCGAAUUCAUCUUGGGGCCAAGGGAAUCCAGCUCAAGGUGCCCGGAGAGGAAGACUUGCAGAGAGUGUCUGAGAACUUGUCUGAGCAAGAGGAGGGAAAGGCUGAGCAGAAAGAGACUGAAAACCUGGCCCCAAGAGACCAGACGCGCACAGCUGCAGUUGGUGAGGUCUGCGAGGAAGGUCUACGGGUGCUGGAAGGCCUGGCGGCCUCCGGUCUGCGCUCCAUCCGAUUUGCCCUCGAGGUUCCCGGCCUCCAGUCUGUGGUUGCCAAUGAUGCUUCUGCCCGGGCUGUAGAACUUAUGGACCGGAACGUGCAGCUCAAUGGUGUGGCACAUCUUGUACAGCCCAACCAGGCAGAUGCCCGGAUGCUGAUGUACCAACACCAGAAGGUGUCUGAGCGUUUUGAUGUCAUUGACCUGGACCCCUAUGGCAGCCCCGCCCCCUUCCUGGAUGCAGCAGUGCAGGCUGUGAAUGAUGGAGGACUUCUGUGUGUCACCUGCACGGACAUGGCGGUAUUGGCAGGCAACAACGGAGAGACGUGCUACAGCAAGUAUGGGGCCAUGGCCCUCAAGAGCCGGGCCUGCCAUGAAAUGGCCCUGAGGAUUGUGCUGCAUAGCCUGGACCUGCAUGCCAACUGCUACCAGCGCUACGUGGUGCCACUGCUCAGCAUCAGUGCCGACUUCUAUGUGCGGGUUUUUGUGCGCAUUUUCACAGGCCAGGCCAAGGUUAAGUCCUCAGCCAGCAAGCAGGCCCUGGUGUACCAGUGUGUGGGUUGUGGAGCCUUCUAUCUGCAACGCCUUGGCAAAGCGUCGGGAGACCCUGGUGGCAGGAUCAAGUUCUCUGCGGCCUGUGGUCCUCCAGUGACUCCUGAGUGUGAACACUGUGGGCAGCGACACCAGCUUGGAGGCCCCAUGUGGGCAGACCCCAUCCAUGACCUAGACUUUGUGGGCCGAGUUCUUGAUGCGGUGACCACUAAUCCUGGCCGCUUCCACACCUCCAAGCGGAUCCAAGGUGUCCUGAGUGUUGUUACUGAGGAACUUCCCGACGUCCCUCUCUACUACACACUGGACCAUCUGAGCAGCACCAUCCGCUGCAACACGCCCAGCCUUCUGCAGCUCCGGUCAGCUCUCCUCCACGCUGGCUUCCGAGUCUCUCUCUCCCAUGCCUGUAAGAAUGCAGUGAAGACAGAUGCUCCCCCGCUAGCCCUCUGGGACAUCAUGCGUUGCUGGGAGAAGGAGUGUCCAGUGAAACGGGAGCGGCUGUCAGAAAGCAGCCCAGCAUUCCGAAUUCUGGCCGUGGAGCCCAGCCUCCACCCAUCUGUGCAGGCUGAAGGCCAACUUCAACAUCCGGAAAGACGCCAACCCCAGCUCCCGCCAGCAAGGACUCAAGCGCUUCCAGGCCAAUCCAGAAGCCAACUGGGGUCCCCGGCCCCGCGCCCGGCCAGGGUGCAAGGCAGCAAGGAAGGACCCGGAGGAGAGGCGGAAGCUGCUGCAGAAUAAACGGAAGGAGCCAGCUGAGGACCCAGCCCAGCGGGCAGCUCGCCUCAAGACCUUUCCUUGCAAACGGUUCAAGGAGGGUACUUGUCAGCGAGGGGACCAGUGCUGUUAUUCACACAGCCCUGCGGCCCCUGUGGCCUCUGUGGAUACUCCCUGCACAGACUGUCCAGAGACCACCAGGAUCUCCCCCGGACCAGAGGCUGCUGGAGGGGGCACUGCUGGGCCAGGUGUGGACUGAGACAAUAAAGACUUAUGGCUCUC